UCCGUGCAUGUGUCAGAUUGACUGCAGGGCC
rnacentral:piRNA from 1 species